CGCUGUGGUCGGCCAUCGGACUCUCCAUUGCCCUGCACGUGGGUGAGUGUGUUUCUGUGUCUUGCAGCCCCUGUGGGAGACAGUGUUGCAGUCUAAGGUCGGGGUAGGGGGCUACGUGUCCCUGAACAUCAUGCUGUCCUCACAGGCUGCUGGCCUCUCUGCAGCUGGCUGGGAUAUUUAUUUCAUGUCCAGAAGGAAGGUCUGGGUUUUUUUGCCUGUGCAAGUUGGCCCCCGUCUUUGCCUCUCACAACUGCAGUCCUGUUUCUCUCUUAUCCUAGGCAGAGUCAGAUCCCUGCACUCAGGGCCACCUCUCACUGGAGGGGCUUUGUCUAGGCCCGAGUCCUCCCAUGUCAUAUCUUCUGGCUUUCCAUGCAGCCUUCCUUCAUUGCAGAAGGAGCUGUGCCCACUGCCCACAGGACGCAGGGUGUGGCCACUUCUGUUGACUCUACUUUUGUGUCACAGGUUUUGACAACUUCGAGCAGCUUCUCUCGGGGGCUCACUGGAUGGUGAGUGCUGAGGCUGGUUCUCUGCCAAGUGCUGGCCAGAGGCGUGUGUGUUGGUCCUGGUCCCCUGCUUUCUCCCCCACUGUCCUGUCCCUCCCCUCCCCGUGCAGCUGCUCAGCUCCCACUCACCCUGCUCCUGUUUCAGGACCAGCACUUCCGCACGACGCCGCUGGAGAAGAACGCCCCCGUCUUGCUGGCCCUGCUGGGUAUCUGGUACAUCAACUGCUUUGGGUGUGAGACACAUGCCAUGCUGCCCUAUGACCAGUACCUGCACCGCUUUGCUGCGUACUUCCAGCAGGGCGACAUGGAGUCCAAUGGGAAAUACAUCACCAAAUCUGGCACCCGUGUGGACCACCAGACAGGCCCCAUUGUGUGGGGGGAGCCAGGGACCAAUGGCCAGCAUGCUUUUUACCAGCUCAUCCACCAAGGCACCAAGAUGAUACCCUGUGACUUCCUCAUCCCGGUCCAGACCCAGCACCCCAUACGGAAGGGUUUGCAUCACAAGAUCCUCCUGGCCAACUUCCUGGCCCAGACGGAGGCCCUGAUGAGGGGAAAAUCGACGGAGGAGGCCCGAAAGGAGCUCCAGGCCGCGGGCAAGAGUCCAGAGGACCUUGAGAGGCUGCUGCCACAUAAGGUCUUUGAAGGAAAUCGCCCAACCAACUCUAUUGUGUUCACCAAGCUCACACCAUUCAUGCUUGGAGCCUUGGUCGCCAUGUAUGAGCACAAGAUCUUCGUUCAGGGCAUCAUCUGGGACAUCAACAGCUUUGACCAGUGGGGAGUGGAGCUGGGAAAGCAGCUGGCUAAGAAAAUUGAGCCUGAGCUUGAUGGCAGUGCUCAAGUGACCUCUCACGACGCUUCUACCAAUGGGCUCAUCAACUUCAUCAAGCAGCAGCGCGAGGCCAGAAUCCAAUAAACUCGUGCUCAGCCGCAGCCUCCUCUGUGACUCCUCUUUCUCUUCUCAUCCCUCCUCCCCGGAGCUGGCACUGCAUGGUCCUGGACACUACCCAGAGUACCCUCUGGUUGUGGGCUUGGACCACGAGCCCUUAGCAGGGAAGGCUGGUCUCCCCCAGCCUAACCCCAGCCCCUCCAUGUGUAUGCUUCCUCUGUGUUACAAUUGGCUGAAGUGUUUUUGUGCAGCUGACUUUUCCGACCCAUGUUCACAUUGUUCACAUCCCAUGUAAAACAAUAAAGAUGCCACAGAGG
rnacentral:sRNA from 1 species